rnacentral:rRNA from 1 species
UGGGGAAUUUUGGACAAUGGGCGCAAGCCUGAUCCAGCAAUGCCGCGUGCAGGAUGAAGGCCUUCGGGUUGUAAACUGCUUUUGUACGGAACGAAACGGUCUACUCUAAUACAGUGGGCUAAUGACGGUACCGUAAGAAUAAGCACCGGCUAACUACGUGCCAGCAGCCGCGGUAAUACGUAGGGUGCGAGCGUUAAUCGGAAUUACUGGGCGUAAAGCGUGCGCAGGCGGUUAUAUAAGACAGAUGUGAAAUCCCCGGGCUCAACCUGGGACCUGCAUUUGUGACUGUAUAGCUAGAGUACGGUAGAGGGGGAUGGAAUUCCGCGUGUAGCAGUGAAAUGCGUAGAUAUGCGGAGGAACACCGAUGGCGAAGGCAAUCCCCUGGACCUGUACUGACGCUCAUGCACGAAAGCGUGGGGAGCAAACAGGAUUAGAUACCCUGGUAGUCCACGCCCUAAACGAUGUCAACUGGUUGUUGGGUCUUCACUGACUCAGUAACGAAGCUAACGCGUGAAGUUGACCGCCUGGGGAGUACGGCCGCAAGGUUG